UACGUAGGCAGCGAGCGUUGUUCGGAGUUACUGGGCGUAAAGAGCUCGUAGGCGGUUUGUCGCGUCGGGAGUGAAAACCUUGGGCUUAACUCAGGGCUUGCUUUCGAUACGGGCAGACUAGAGGUAUGCAGGGGAGAACGGAAUUCCUGGUGUAGCGGUGAAAUGCGCAGAUAUCAGGAGGAACACCGGUGGCGAAGGCGGUUCUCUGGGCAUGAUCUGACGCUGAGGAGCGAAAGUGUGGGGAGCGAACAGG
rnacentral:rRNA from 1 species